CCUACGGGGGGCAGCAGUGGGGAAUAUUGGGCAAUGGGCGCAAGCCUGACCCAGCAACGCCGCGUGAAGGAAGAAGGCUUUCGGGUUGUAAACUUCUUUUCUCAGGGACGAAGAAAGUGACGGUACCUGAGGAAUAAGCCACGGCUAACUACGUGCCAGCAGCCGCGGUAAUACGUAGGUGGCAAGCGUUAUCCGGAUUUAUUGGGUGUAAAGGGCGUGUAGGCGGGAGCGCAAGUCAGAUGUGAAAACUCAGGGCUCAACCCUGAGCCUGCAUUUGAAACUGUGUUUCUUGAGUGCUGGAGAGGCAAUCGGAAUUCCGUGUGUAGCGGUGAAAUGCGUAGAUAUACGGAGGAACACCAGUGGCGAAGGCGGAUUGCUGGACAGUAACUGACGCUGAGGCGCGAAAGCGUGGGGAGCAAACAGGAUUAGAUACCCGAG
rnacentral:rRNA from 1 species